AAAGUAAAUCAAUUUUGAUUAUCUCCAUUUCGUCGUAUUCUCUGUAGUUCUUCGUCCUGUAGUUUCUAAAUUUCAAUUUAUAUUUCCCGCUUAUUCGUGUCUCACGAAGGCACUCUUAUACUUUUCAUAUACAGGAUAUUUAUUAUGUCUAAUACAACUACUGGUACCGUAAAAUGGUUCAACGAAUCAAAAGGUUUUGGUUUUAUUGAGCAAAAGUCUGGUCCAGACGUAUUUGCACACUUCAGUGCAAUUGCUAGCUCGGGAUUUAAAACAUUAACUGAAGGUCAACUGGUUGAGUUCAAAGUUACUCAAGGCCAAAAAGGUCUUCAGGCAGAGAAUAUCGUAGCUAU
rnacentral:sRNA from 1 species